rnacentral:rRNA from 1 species
GACGAACGCUGGCGGCGUGCCUAAUACAUGCAAGUAGAACGCAGUUGCGAACGGGUGAGUAACGCGUAGGUAACUGCCUCAUAGCGGGGGAUAACUAUUGGAAACGAUAGCUAAUACCGCAUACUUUGAGAUGGACCUGCGUUGUAUUAGCUAGUUGGUGAGGUAAAGGCUCACCAAGGCGCCGAUACAUAGCCGACCUGGGAGGGGGAUCGGCCACACUGGGACUGAGACACGGGCCAGACUCCUACGGGAGGCAGCAGUAGGGAAUCUUCGGCAAUGGACGGAAGUCUGACCGGGCAAAGCCGGCGGAGGGAAGAAGGGUUUCGGAUCGUAAAGCUCCGUUGAUAGAGAAGCGGUACCUAACCAGAAAGGGACGGCUAACUACGUGCCAGCAGCCGCGGUAAUAC